rnacentral:rRNA from 1 species
CAGUCCAACAGCUAGCCCAACAAACCAAAAACAACAACUCAACAUAAAUAACCCCUAAAACAAUAAAAUAAACCAAACAAACCAUUUUUCCACCCCAGUAUGGGCGACAGAAAAGGAACUACG